AGACUGGUGACCCGCGGCUGGGCGCCUCGGCCAUGACUGCGGAGCUGCAGCAGGACGACGCGGCCGGCGCGGCAGACGGCCACGGCUCGAGCUGCCAAAUGCUGUUAAAUCAACUGAGAGAAAUCACAGGCAUUCAGGACCCUUCCUUCCUCCAUGAAGCUCUGAAGGCCAGUAAUGGUGACAUUACUCAGGCAGUCAGCCUUCUCACUGAUGAGAGAGUUAAGGAGCCCAGUCAAGACACUGUUGCUACAGAACCAUCUGAAGUAGAGGGGAGUGCUGCCAACAAGGAAGUAUUAGCAAAAGUGAUAGACCUUACUCAUGAUAACAAAGAUGAUCUUCAGGCUGCCAUUGCUUUGAGUCUACUGGAGUCUCCCAAAAUUCAAGCUGAUGGAAGAGAUCUUAACAGGAUGCACGAAGCAACCUCUGCAGAAACUAAACGCUCAAAGAGAAAACGCUGCGAAGUCUGGGGAGAAAACCCCAAUCCCAAUGACUGGAGGAGAGUUGAUGGUUGGCCAGUUGGGCUGAAAAAUGUUGGCAAUACAUGUUGGUUUAGUGCUGUUAUUCAGUCUCUCUUUCAAUUGCCUGAAUUUCGAAGACUUGUUCUCAGUUAUAGUCUGCCACAAAAUGUACUUGAAAAUUGUCGAAGUCAUACAGAAAAGAGAAAUAUCAUGUUUAUGCAAGAGCUUCAGUAUUUGUUUGCUCUAAUGAUGGGAUCAAAUAGAAAAUUUGUAGACCCGUCUGCAGCCCUGGAUCUAUUAAAGGGAGCAUUCCGAUCAUCUGAGGAACAGCAGCAGUCCCAGGAACAAAUCUGAAAAUCCAAUGGUGCAGCUGUUCUAUGGUACUUUCCUGACU
rnacentral:sRNA from 1 species